UACGGGAGGCAGCAGUGGGGAAUCUUGGACAAUGGGGGCAACCCUGAUCCAGCCAUGCCGCGUGAGUGAUGAAGGCCUUAGGGUCGUAAAGCUCUUUCGCCAGGGAUGAUAAUGACAGUACCUGGUAAAGAAACCCCGGCUAACUCCGUGCCAGCAGCCGCGGUAAUACGGAGGGGGUUAGCGUUGUUCGGAAUUACUGGGCGUAAAGCGCGCGUAGGCGGAUUGGAAAGUUGGGGGUGAAAUCCCGGGGCUCAACCCCGGGACUGCCUUUAAUACUGCUAGUCUUGAGUUCGAGAGAGGUGAGUGGAAUUCCGAGUGUAGAGGUGAAAUUCGUAGAUAUUCGGAGGAACACCAGUGGCGAAGGCGGCUCACUGGCUCGAUACUGACGCUGAGGUGCGAAAGUGUGGGGAGCAAACAGGAUUAGAUACCCUGGUAGUCCACACCGUAAACGAUGAAUGCCAGUCGUCGGGUAGCAUGCUAUUCGG
rnacentral:rRNA from 1 species